rnacentral:tRNA from 1 species
GGGAAUGUAGCUGAGUGGUAGAGCACUUGCCUAGAAUGUGAGAGGCUCUGGGUUCAAUCCCCAAUAUUGCCA